GGUCAUGUGGCGCAAUGGAUAACGCGUCUGACUACGGAUCAGAAGACUCCAGGUUCGAGUCUUGGCAGGAUCG
rnacentral:tRNA from 1 species